rnacentral:rRNA from 1 species
UCGUCUGCCCAAGGAUGGGUCUGCGGCCUAUCAGGUAGUAGUGGGUGUAAUGUACCUACUAGCCUACGACGGGUACGGGUUGUGAGAGCAAGAGCCCGGAGAUGGAUUCUGAGACAUGAAUCCAGGCCCUACGGGGCGCAGCAGGCGCGAAAACUUUACAAUGCGGGAAACCGUGAUAAGGGGACACCGAGUGCCAGCAUCCUAUGCUGGCUGUCCGGGUGUGUAAAAUACACCUGUUAGCAAGGGCCGGGCAAGACCGGUGCCAGCCGCCGCGGUAACACCGGCGGCCCGAGUGGUGAUCGUGAUUAUUGGGUCUAAAGGGUCCGUAGCCGGUUUGGUCAGUCCUCCGGGAAAUCUGACAGCUCAACUGUUAGGCUUUCGGAGGAUACUGCCAGACUUGGAACCGGGAGAGGUAAGAGGUACCACAGGGGUAGGAGUGAAAUCUUGUAAUCCCUGUGGGACCACCUGUGGCGAAGGCGUCUUACCAGAACGGGUUCGACGGUGAGGGACGAAAGCUGGGGGCACGAACCGGAUUAGAUACCCGGGUAGUCCCAGCCGUAAAUGAUGCUCGCUAGGUGUCAGGCAUGGCGCGACCGUGUCUGGCGCCGCAGGGAAGCCGUGAAGCGAGCCACCUGGGAAGUACGACCGCAAGGCUGAAACUUAAAGGAAUUGGCGGGGGAGCACAACAACGG